rnacentral:rRNA from 1 species
UACGUAGGGGGCAAGCGUUGUCCGGAUUUAUUGGGCGUAAAGAGCGUGUAGGCGGCCACACAGGUCAGCUGUGAAAACUCGAGGCUCAACCUCGAGACGUCGGUUGAAACCGUAUGGCUAGAGUCCGGAAGAGGAGAGUGGAAUUCCUGGUGUAGCGGUGAAAUGCGCAGAUAUCGGGAAGAACACCCGUGGCGAAGGCGGCUCUCUGGGACGGUACUGACGCUGAGACGCGAAAGCGUGGGGAGCGAACAGG